UUGCUCUGCUAACCUGGGGCUGACCUGGAUGCAUGGAUUUUGGUCAGUAGGGCUCCAGCUCCCUGCACCAGCCAACCAGCUUUGAUGGAAGCAGUGGAGGAGAUGUUGUUUGCCUGCAGUGCUGUGAUGCACUGUGGUGUGGAGCCUGUUCUGCCCAUAUGGAUUUUGAGCUGCAGGAUUUCUUCCAGGAAAACCAUAUUAGGAUUUAGGAUUUAUAAUUUCCUGGGAGUAGUUUAUAUACCAGAAAACUCGUCCUACAACAUGGGAAGGAACAACCUUUUUUGUACCCUAUAAAAGAUAUGGAUUAUUUAUUUGUUUAUUUAUUUUGUGAACUUCUAAUGGUUUGGAGUUUUCAGUGGUCUUGCUUGAUGCAAUAGCUGCAUUUGUGUGGAUGUGACAUGUUUUUCAUUGGUCUCUAAGAUGAACCUGGAAAAGAAGUGGAGCUGCCCCUUGUCAGGUCCAAGGCACAGAAACCACCAGCAUGGUUUGGAGCAGCCAGCGCAAUACAGUGACACACGGGUGAUCUGUUAGAUGAGCCAUGGAUGCCAUGAGCCUGUGGGUGUUGCUAUUGUUGGAGGCCAUCCCCAUAUGUCCUGAGGCUGCAGCUGUCUGUGUGCCAUUGCCUUCUCCCUUUCACUGCUUCCUGGUUCUCACAGCCAGUUGUGUGUGGUUGUCAGAGGUAUUCUAUGGGCAGAAGGAAGUUGGCUUUUUGUCUAUGUCCUGCAUGGGCAUCCAUGACUGGCUGACGUCUGGCGUAGUCCCCUGGGAUACCCAUGUGUCACCUGAAAGCUCCCUCCUUGUGCCUGCAGUGCAUCUGGAGCAGACACAGCUUUGCAUCGAGGUCAGGGGACCUCGCUGUGGCCAUUCUGGGGGAGCGUUCUCUGCGUGUUUCCUGGGCUGACAGCUCCACUGAAAAGCUUUUUGCUUAAGAUCUAAGAAUGCAGUGUCUGUUACAAACAAUUGCCCUUGUCCUCUUCAGUCCCUAUCACUUCCCAGUCUGACGUGGUCAAGUUACUGAAUCAGUGCUUUUAGAGGCUGCAUCAUUCAUUUUAUUUGACUGUGCGCGGUCCUGGAGAUGCAAGCUGCCAAAUGUCUGUCAAUAAUCAACCAGAG
ensembl:lncRNA